GGGCAGGGUGCAGGAUAACGUCCUGUCGGGGCGACUCGAAGGAAAGUGCCACAGAAACAAACCCCCCUUCAUAAGGGGAAGGGUGAAAUCGUGAGGUAAGAGCUCACGGAGCCGUACGGAGACGUACGCUCGGGUAAACCCCACCUGAAGCAAGAUGCGCUCACUAACGUUCCGCUGGGCGGAACCGGACGGCCCGUCCGUACGAGCCAGAUCGCAAGAGGCCCCCGGUAACGGGCGUCGCAGACAGAUGGUCAUCGCCGCCCCGAGCUUGCGACGGGCGGUACAGAAUCCGGCUUAUAGGCAUACUCCGCAC
rnacentral:RNase_P_RNA from 1 species